rnacentral:rRNA from 1 species
ACGAACGCUGGCGGCGUGCCUAAUCCAUGCAAGUCGAGCGAACGGACGAGAAGCUUGCUUCUCUGAUGUUAGCGGCGGACGGGUGAGUAACACGUGGAUAACCUACCUAUAAGACUGGGAUAACUUCGGGAAACCGGAGCUAAUACCGGAUGAUAUUUUGAACCGCAUGGUUCAAAAGUGAAAGACGGUCUUGCUGUCACUUAUAGAUGGAUCCGCGCUGCAUUAGCUAGUUGGUAAGGUAACGGCUUACCAAGGCAACGAUGCAUAGCCGACCUGAGAGGGUGAUCGGCCACACUGGAACUGAGACACGGUCCAGACUCCUACGGGAGGCAGCAGUAGGGAAUCUUCCGCAAUGGGCGAAAGCCUGACGGAGCAACGCCGCGUGAGUGAUGAAGGUCUUCGGAUCGUAAAACUCUGUUAUUAGGGAAGAACAUAUGUGUAAGUAACUGUGCACAUCUUGACGGUACCUAAUCAGAAAGCCACGGCUAACUACGUG